AUUGAACGCUGGCGGUAUGCUUAACACAUGCAAGUCGAACGGCAGCACAGCAGAGCUUGCUCUGUGGGUGGCGAGUGGCGGACGGGUGAGUAAUACAUCGGGACCUACCCAGACGUGGGGGAUAACGUAGGGAAACUUACGCUAAUACCGCAUACGUCCUACGGGAGAAAGCAGGGGAUCUUCGGACCUUGCGCGGUUGGACGGACCGAUGUUCGAUUAGCUUGUUGGUGAGGUAAUGGCUCACCAAGGCGACGAUCGAUAGCUGGUCUGAGAGGAUGAUCAGCCACACUGGGACUGAGACACGGCCCAGACUCCUACGGGAGGCAGCAGUGGGGAAUAUUGGACAAUGGGCGCAAGCCUGAUCCAGCAAUACCGCGUGUGUGAAGAAGGCCUUCGGGUUGUAAAGCACUUUUAUCAGGAACGAAACGCUGUCGGUUAAUACCCGGCGGAACUGACGGUACCUGAGGAAUAAGCACCGGCUAACUUCGUGC
rnacentral:rRNA from 1 species